CCUACGGGGGGCUGCAGUGAGGAAUAUUGGACAAUGGGUGGAAGCCUGAUCCAGCCAUCCCGCGUGAAGGACGACGGCCCUAUGGGUUGUAAACUUCUUUUGUACAGGGAUAAACCUCCCCUCGUGAGGGGAGCUGAAGGUACUGUACGAAUAAGCACCGGCUAACUCCGUGCCAGCAGCCGCGGUAAUACGGAGGGUGCAAGCGUUAUCCGGAUUUAUUGGGUUUAAAGGGUCCGUAGGCGGGCCCGUAAGUCAGUGGUGAAAUCUCGCAGCUU
rnacentral:rRNA from 1 species